rnacentral:rRNA from 1 species
UGAGCAAUCUGCCUAGAUGUGGGGGAUAGCCGGCCCAACGGCCGGGUAAUACCGCAUACGCUCUCCUGGUGGCAUCACCGGGUGAGGAAACUUUCGAGGCGUCUAGAGGAGCUCGCGGCCUAUCAGCUAGUUGGAGAGGUAAUGGCUCACCAAGGCUUUGACGGGUAGCUGGUCUGAGAGGAUGGCCAGCCACAUUGGGACUGAGAUACGGCCCAGAUCCGUACGGG